rnacentral:rRNA from 1 species
UACGUAGGGGGCUAGCGUUGUCCGGAAUCAUUGGGCGUAAAGCGCGCGUAGGCGGCCCGGUAAGUCCGCUGUAAAAGUCAAAGGCUCAACCUUUGAAUGUCAGUGGAUACUGCCGGGCUAGAGUCCGGAAGAGGCGAGUGGAACUCCUGGUGUAGCGGUGGAAUGCGCAGAUAUCAGGAAGAACACCAACGGCGAAGGCAGCUCGCUGGGACGGAACUGACGCUGAGGCGCGAAAGCGUGGGGAGCGAACAGG